GCAAGUCGAACGGUAGGAAUCCUUCGGGAUCUCUGAGUGGCGAACGGGCGAGUAACACGUAGAUGAUCUGCCUUGAAGUUGGGGAUAGCCGAUAGCAAUAUGGGGUAAUACCGGAUAAUACCUUAGAACUCUGGUUUUUUGGUGAAAGGGGCUUCGGCCUCGCUUUGAGAUGAGUCUGCGGCUUAUUAGCUAGUUGGUAGGGUAAAGGCCUACCAAGGCGACGAUAAGUAGCCGGCCUGAGAGGGUGACC
rnacentral:rRNA from 1 species